rnacentral:rRNA from 1 species
GACGAACGCUGGCGGCGUGCUUAACACAUGCAAGUCGAGCGGACAGACGAGGAGCUUGCUGCUCUGUCGUUAGCGGCGGACGGGGGAGUAACACGAGGAUAAUCUCCUUAUCUGUCUGGGAUAAUUACGGGAAACCGGCGCUAAUACCGGAUAAUAUACUGAACCGCAUGGUUCAUUGGUGAGAGACGGUUUUUCUGUCAGUUCUCGAUGGAUCCGCGCCGCAUUAGCUAGUUGGUGAGGUAACGGCUUACCAAGGCGACGAUGCGUAGCCGACCUGAGAGGGUGGUCGGCCGCACUGGAGCGGGGACGCGGUCCAGACGCCUACGGGAGGCAGCAGUAGGGAAUCUUCCGCAACAGGGGAAAACCUGACGGAGCAGCGCCGCGGGAGUGGUGAAGGUGUUCGGAUCGUAAUGCUCUGUUAUUGGGGGAGAACAAAUGUGGAAGUAACUGUGGACGUCUUGACGGUACCUGGUCAAGAAGCCACGGCUAACUACGUG